rnacentral:rRNA from 1 species
UACGUAGGGUGCGAGCGUUGUCCGGAAUUAUUGGGCGUAAAGAGCUUGUAGGCGGUUUGUCGCGUCUGCUGUGAAAAUCCGGGGCUCAACCCCGGACUUGCAGUGGGUACGGGCAGACUGGAGUGUGGUAGGGGAGACUGGAAUUCCUGGUGUAGCGGUGAAAUGCGCAGAUAUCAGGAGGAACACCGAUGGCGAAGGCAGGUCUCUGGGCAUUAACUGACGCUGAGGAGCGAAAGCAUGGGGAGCGAAUAGG